CCUCCCUCUUUCCUCUCUCUGUCUCUCACACGCACGUGCACACACAUGCACACACGCUCACACACACUUCCUUUUCCUGCUUUCUGGUAAUUCAUUCCUGGAAUUCACCAGUAAAGCCAUCCAGACCUGGGGGUUUCUUUGGGGGACUGCCAACCCCAUUCUGUAGUGUCGGAGUCCUGUCCUCCUCUUUUCUCUUGGGUUUGGGGUUCGUGUCUUUGAGGGUGGCAGGUUGGAGGCCGGCAGGUCUCCAGGCCCCCACCCACACAGUCCCGUGCCUUUGCUGUGAGGUCACCGGCCAUGGCUCUGUGGUCACCUGUUACCUCGCCUGCAGGCUGGGUGACCUGCUUCUCCAAGAUGCACCGAGAGGCUCCUCCCCCCCAGGACCCGGCGUUGGUGGCAGGUGGCAGGAUGUGUGCCCGGGUCGAAUGCCAGCCAGAGCUUCUCCAGAGGCCGCCUCUCGCAGGCCCGAGCGCCCUGGACUGGAGCAAGGCACCCACUGGCUCGCUCUUGCUCAGUAUUGGUGAUGGGUCCCGGGGGUGCCCCACCCUGAGCUACAGCCUGUCCUUUUUAUGCCUUAUUUUGAGACAGGGUCUCACUAAGUCGCCCAGAUUGGCCUCAAACCUGUGCUCCUCCUCCUCAGCUUCCGGGGCCUGCAUAACAGGCAUGGCCACCGCCCCUGCCUGAGGCCCUCCAUUUCUCUUAUGGCUGCGUCUCCAGGGCUCUGCAGACCCGAGGCUCUUCCCUGAGGAAGCAGGUGGGGGUGGCUGGCCCUGUGGAAGCCGUUAGAGGAAGGCCACAGGGAAGGCAGCACAGAGACACCAGUUCCUGGAGGGGGCCUUGACUGAAAGCCUUUCAGCUCUUGCUGGACCCCAGCUGGGGAGAGCCUCAAGGGCUGCAGGCAGCCUCCUGGAGGGCAGGGGCUGUGGGGACUUGUGGGGCCGGGCUCCCCCCCACUCCCUGAGCUGCUCUAAAAUGAUCCCAGCUGCAGAAGCAAGCGUCAAGGGGCCAGAA
rnacentral:lncRNA from 1 species